rnacentral:tRNA from 1 species
GGGGCUGUAGCUCAGUUGGAAGAGCGCGUGACUGGCAGUCACGAGGUCGUCGGUUCGAGCCCGAUCAGCUCCACCA